rnacentral:rRNA from 1 species
UACGGAAGGCAGCAGUGGGGAAUAUUGCACAAUGGGCGCAAGCCUGAUGCAGCCAUGCCGCGUGUAUGAAAAAGGCCUUCGGGUUGUAAAGUACUUUCAGUCGUGAGGAAGGUGUUAAGGUUAAUAACCUUAGCAAUUGACGUUAGCGACAGAAGAAGCACCGGCUAACUCCGUGCCAGCAGCCGCGGUAAUACGGAGGGUGCGAGCGUUAAUCGGAAUUACUGGGCGUAAAGGGCACGCAGGCGGUUAAUUAAGUUGGAUGUGAAAUCCCCGGGCUUAACCUGGGAAUGGCAUUCAAGACUGGUUAGCUAGAGUUUUUGUAGAGGGGGUAGAAUUCCAUGUGUAGCGGUGAAAUGCGUAGAGAUGUGGAGGAUACCGGUGGCGAAGGCGGCCCCUGGACAAAGACUGACGCUCAUGUGCGAAAGCGUGGGGAGCAAACAGGGAUUAGAUACCCGU